AAAGCGCCUACGGGAGAAACAGCUGGGACGCUGACUGGCUAUGGAAAUCUCAGUUCUAGGAACCGUGUCCUUUCGUCCCGGAGUUAAGAUUCUCUCUGGAGAUACAGAGCAGAAGCACUGAUCUGCAGCACCCAGUUAACCACAUGAUCACAAGGCCAACAGUUCAUCCAUACAAAUUUUGGACUCGUCAAGCUUCUGCAUUAAUCAAGUUUUUAAUCGCUAUAAUAAAUACCGACAAC